rnacentral:rRNA from 1 species
AUCCAGAACUGUUUGACUUAGAGUACACGUAGAGGGUGGCGGUAAUUUCCUUGUGUAGCGGUGAAACUGCGUAGAUAUAGGAGGAACAUCAGUGGCGAAGGCGGCACCUGGAACUGAUACUGACGCUGUAGGUGCGAAAGCGUGGGGGAGCAAACAGGAUUUAGAUACCCUGGUAGUCCACGCCGUAAACGAUGUCUACUAGCCGUUUGGAAGACUUGAUCUUUUAGUGGCGCAGUUAACGCAAUAAGUAGACCGCCUGGGGAGUACGGCCGCAAGGUUAAAACUCAAAUGAAUUGACGGGGGCCCGCACAAGCGGUGGAGCAUGUGGUUUAAUUCGACGCAACGCGAAGAACCUUACCAGGUUCUUGACAUCCUCGGAACUUUCUAGAGAUAGAUUGGUGCCUUCGGGAACCGAGAGACAGGUGCUGCAUGGCU